rnacentral:rRNA from 1 species
AGGAGCAUCAGGUAUCUUCAGAGAGGGUUUGAUUUGGCUCAGAUUGAACGCUGGCGGGAUGCUUUACAUACGUAGUCGAACGGCAGCACGGACUUCGGUCUGGUGGCGAGUGGCGAACAGGUGAGUAAUGUAUCGGAACGUGCCUAGUAGCGGGGAUAACUUCGCCGAAAGCGUAGCUAAUACCGCAUACGCCCUUCGGGGAAAGCGGGGGACCUUCGGGCCUCGCACUAUUAGAGCGGCCGAUAUCGGAUUAGCUAGUUGGUGGGGUAACGGCUCACCAAGGCGACGAUCCGUAGCUGGUUUGAGGGACGACCAGCCACACCAGGACUGAGACACGGCCCAGACUCCCACGCGGGAAGCAGCAGUGGGGAAUUUUGGACAAUGGAAACCUGAUCCCGGCCAUCCCGCGUGUGCGAUGAAGAAGCCUUCGGGUUGUAAAGCACUUUUGGCAGGAAAGAAACGGCACGGGAUAUGCGGCCAACUGACGGUACCUGCAGAAUAAGCACCGGCUAACUACGUGCCAGCAGCCGCGGUAAUACGUAGGGUGCAAGCGUUAAUCGGAAUUACUGGGCGUAAAGCGUGCGCAGAAACAUCGGAAAAGAUGUGAAAUCCCAGAGCUUAACUUUGGAACUGCAUUUUUAACUACCGAGCUAGAGUGUGUCAGAGGAGGUGGAAUUCCCGCGUGUAGCAGUGAAAUGCGUAGAUAUGCGGAGGAACACCGAUGGCGAAGGCAGCCUCCUGGAAUGCUGCUGACAACUCUGCUGCACAGCAGUAGGAAGCAAGCAGGAUUACGAUGCCCUGGUAGUCCACGCCCUAAACGAUGUCAACUAGCUGUUGGGCCUUCGAGCGCUGGUAGCGCUAACGCGUGAAGUUGACCGCCUGGGGAGAGUACGGUCGCAAGAUUAAAACUCAAAGGAAUUGACGGGGACCCGCACAAGCGGUGGAUGAUGUGGAUUAAUUCGAUGCAACGCGAAAAGCCUUACCUACCCUUGACAUGUCUGGAAUCCGAAAGAGAUUUGGGAGUGCUCGCAAGAGAACGGAACACAGGUGCUGCAUGGCUGUCGUCAGCUCGUGUCGUGAGAUGUUGGGUUAAGUCCCGCAACGAGCGCAGCCCUUGUCAUUAGUUGCCACGAAGGGCCUCUAAUGAGACUGCCGGUAGCAAACCGGAGGAAGGUGGGGAUGAUACGUCAAGUCCCUCAUGGCCAUAUGGGUAGGGCUUCACACGUCAUACAAUGGUCGGGACAGAGGGUCGCAGCGAGGGGAGCCAAUCCAGAAACUACGAUCGUAGAGUCCGGAUCGCAGUCUGCAACUCGACUGCGUGAAGUCGGAAUCGCUAGUAAUCGCGGAUCAGCAUGUCGCGGUGAAUACGUUCCCGGGUGUACACCGCCCAAUGCACACCAUGGGAGUGGGUUUGGAGAAGUAGUUAGCCUAACCGUAAGGAGGGCGAUUACCACAUUAGGAUUCAUGACUGGGGUAGAGGGAAUAUAUAAAGGUAG